rnacentral:rRNA from 1 species
ACGGCAAGGGCACUCUAAUGAGACUGCCGGUGACAAACCGGAGGAAGGUGGGGAUGACGUCAAGUCCUCAUGGCCCUUAUAGGUGGGGCUACACACGUCAUACAAUGGCUAGGGUACAAAAGGGUUGCCAACCCGCGAGGGGGAGCCAAUCCCAUAAAGCCAGUCGUAGUCCGGAUCGCAGUCUGCAACUCGACUGCGUGAAGUCGGAAUCGCUAGUAAUCGUGGAUCAGCAUGUCACGGUGAAUACGUUCCCGGGUCUU